GCCUUUGUAGUGAUUAGAAAAUAUAAAUACAUUAAUGGAAUUAAAGUUCGAGUUUAAUAUAACAAAUAAAGUACAAAUCAACGUACAUACAUAUAUGUAUGUAUAAACAAAUUUAUAAUAAUAAGACAGGUUAGACUACCGGCACAGAUCUCAGCUCUCGUUAGUGUUUUGUGUUUCCGCUCUAUGACGAACAUAUGUACAUAUAUAUUUAUAUACAUCAGUACAUUCAUAGACCGGUUCGGUUCCUUUUGAAUAAUAGAACAAUGGAUAACAAAAAUUUAAGUAAAUUCUUUAAUAGUUUUAUGCAAAAGAUAUUUUUUAUGCAAUCUUUGACUUGUUAUUGUUAUCGGAACUAUACAAUUUUCUCUCCCAUCACUAGAAGUAGAACAUCAAUGAACGCAAGAAACAAAUAAUUAGUUUUCCUACGUUUUGAUUUGGAGGCGGCAUCGUUUCGUUUUAUCCCACUCCUUCAAAAUUGUGGAUCCCACGGAUUUUUGUCCUUUGUGUGUGGGCAGAAGGCGCCGGGGCGAAAUUUUUAAAUACAAUACAAUACAAUAAAAUUAAAAGACCAAGCGACGCGAUGGUCAUACGCGCGGAACCCAGAUCCCAAAUAUCGAUAUCAGAUUGAAGGGAGCAGACGCAAAACGCGCGUCGGUUAAACUGCGGUGGAAAACCAAACCAAGUUGUGGAAUUGGCGCCAAAGUUAGUGUGGAAAUGCGAAAUUUCCCAAAAAACAUUUGGCAGCCCCGAUACAAAAUCCUAACACAUUCUUGCAAUAGGCAAGUGUGCUCAAAUCUAUUGCAUCAAGCAAAAACGCAAGAAAAGAUCCGGACUUACUUCCGACUUACACAUAUACACAAUCAAUAUAUUCAGCAAAAGAAGUUAGACACUAGACAAAGUAAGAAACGUUUGAAACUUGAUUGAAAAGUUGGUAUAGAAUCAGAUAAGGCUAAAAUCGUGUAUUCAUAUUUUAUCGGGUUGAAAAUGAUACCUUCAUUCAAGAAAAUAUAAAAUACCAAAAAAAAUAAAUACAUAUAUAUGUUUGCUAUGCCCAUUAACGCAAGAUAA